AGCAAUAAUAGCUUAAAUUAGAGCAUUGGUCUUGUAAGCCAAAGGUGAAUACAAACAUUCUUAUUGCUU
rnacentral:tRNA from 1 species